UGCAGAAUCCCGCAAACCAUCGAGUCUUUGAACGCAAGGUUGGCCUCAGGCACGUCCUCCUGGGUGUAGAGC
rnacentral:rRNA from 1 species